GACGAACCGUGCGAACGUUGCUCGGAAUCACUGGGCUUAAAGGGCGCGUAGGCGGGCGGUCAAGUCAGAGGCGAAAUCCCACGGCUCAACCGUGGAAGUGCCCCUGAUACUGACUGUCUCGAGGGAGGUAGGGGCGUGCGGAACUUCCGGUGGAGCGGUGAAAUGCGUAGAUAUCGGAAGGAACACCGAUGGCGAAAGCAGCGCGCUGGACCUCUACUGACGCUGAGGCGCGAAAGCCAGGGGAGCAAACGGG
rnacentral:rRNA from 1 species